AGCAGCCGCGGUAAUUCCAGCUCCAAUAGCGUAUAUUAAAGUUGUUGCAGUUAAAAAGCUCGUAGUUGAAUUUCGGGAUCAAAUUGUCGGUCGUGCCUCGGUACGUACUGGCGUUAUUGGUUCCUCCCUUCUGAAGAACCACGAUGUCAUUAAUUUGGUGUCGUGGGGAAUCAGGACUGUUACUUUGAAAAAAUUAGAGUGUUUAAAGCAGGCUCGCGCUUGAAUACAUUAGCAUGGAAUAAUGAAAUAGGACGUUUGAUUCUAUUUUGUUGGUUUCUAGGAUCGACGUAAUGAUUAAUAGGGAUAGUUGGGGGCAUUAGUAUUCAAUUGUCAGAGGUGAAAUUCUUGGAUUUAUUGAAGACUAACUACUGCGAAAGCAUUUGCCAAGGAUGUUUUCAUUAAUCAAGAACGAAAGUUAGGGGAUCGAAGACGAUCAGAUACCGUCGUAGUCUUAACCAUAAACUAUGCCGACUAGGGAUCGGAUGAUGUUAAUUUUUUAAUGACUCA
rnacentral:rRNA from 1 species